rnacentral:lncRNA from 1 species
UGACAUAGUGUUUAUUACCCCAGGGGAUGCAUAAUGAUGGUAUCAGAAUGGAUCACUCCCCCACCAGGGUUUAAAACCCUUCAGGAGUUUCUAGCCUCCUUAGCUGAGUUUCCUCCACCUCAGCUAUGGUUCUGUAAGCCUUAGUCACCUCCUUGCUUUUACCCAGCACCCUGUGCAGUGCCUGUUGUGUUUACCAUGUGGAUUUAAGAGGCACAGGUUGCGGUGACUCACUUCGAGGCAGGCUCUCUCCGGGUAACCAGAUGCCCGAUGAGUAACAAAGAGUGGGAAUAGGUAGGCACAGUGGCUCUGUGAGCCGGGAGAGAGGCAUGGAAGCUGGGCAGAGGGUGCUGGACUUUUAGACUUCAGAGUCCAGAGGCAUCCCCAGCCCACCAACCUAUUCACACAGUCUAUGUAUUCUGUCCUUUUGCUGAAGAUGAGGUACGGGACAACUGGUUUCCCAAGUGCCAGAGGAAGGGACAUGGUGUCACCGCACACUUGAUUUUCAUGCAGACCUCAGGUCAUUUGCAGAUGGUGUUGGGCGGAGCAGCCAUGGGCCUCGGUGUCCACCAAUGGUGAGCCACUUCUGAGCACUGCCAAGGUCAUGUCAGUGCCCCAUCCACUCAACUGCCUUAAGUCUGUCCUUUGUACAUGAAGAGGUUUUUCUAUACCUCCUCACAACCCAUGACUUUGUCUGCAGAAAACCCUUUUUUUUUUCCUCUGUGUAGCAUAUGCAGGGGCUGUGAGCUGUAGUGGAAGAUGAGUGGGUGGUGUGGCUUCGUUUGGGUCUCAGAAGAUGAAUUAUUAGGAAGUGAGGCCUCUUGACACCACACACUGACACUGAGAAUGGAAAGCCAGCCUUCCUCACCUGAGUCACAAGGUCUCCUUCUGCUUCCAGAAUUGCUCCCCUCUAGCCUCGAUUACUGCCACCCCCCAUACCCGCCCCACACCCACUUGUUUCUGAGACAGAGUUUCGAGUAGUCCAGGCUGGCCUUGAACUCAGUAUGAAGUUGAAGAUAUUGAGUUCAACUUUGAACUUGUGAUCCUCCUGCCUCUGCCUCUCAAGUGCUGGGGUUCCAGUCUCUGGUUUAUGGGGUACUGGGGAUCAGACAUAGGGCCCAGAGCUUUGUGCAGGGUAAACAGGCAACUGAGGCACCUCCCAUCUCUUGGGGUGAUCAGCCCUUCCCUGCCCAGACCCUGUCCCUUGGCUUCUGAUCCUGUGCCUGGCUUGUCCCCUGGUAUCUGUACAGUAUCAGUGCCCCCUGUUCCUUGGCCUGACCCUUGGGGCUCUGAUGCUCGGCUUCCACCAGUCUCAAGUUGGAUUUGCUGCAAGUCUGAGCAGUCAAGGACAGCUACCACGUGAGAGAGGGAGGUCUGUAAAAACUGCUGUAGCUCAAAAUAGCCACAGUGUCCAGAGAAGCCAAGAACGCUGUUGUCCCCCACUUUGCUGUCACUACUGAGCAUCCUCUGUCCCUGUGUCCCCUCAGUCCACCAGCAUGUCAGGAUCUUGGCAUGGACCACAGUGUGUCAAAAUAAUGUGUGUGGUCUUUUUUUCUUAGGCCCAAACAGGAAAUCCCUCAUAGUCUAGGCUUGGUAGACUGAGCUCUGGGUAGAGAAGGUCAAUCUACCAAGAAGGUCAAGUCAACCAUUCCUGUCUCUCCUCUGGAUGCUAGGGAGGUCCUUGUCCUCAUGCAAGUUCUGGCUCUUCUCUGUCUCUGAUUCUAAAACAGAAUGCUUGGGCCCUUGUGUCCUACUUUGUGGCUGGUGACUUCAUAGGGUGACAAUGACAGUUGGGCUUUGGUUAGGAAAAGGAAACUGGAAUUCUGGAGAUAUAAGUGACCCUGAGGUUGAGAAAAACCCACACUAAGGAGAAAGAAACUUAAUAUAAUACCACAUAGACCAAGGCACACUAUUCUGUAUGCAUAGGGGUGUGUGUGUGUGUGUGUGUGUGUGUGUACGUGCGUGCGUGCGUGUGCACACGCCAGUAGUCUCUGGUGUCUGUCUCCUCAGAGCUGGGCGACUCGAGUUGCCACACCUGGACUGUUAUGUGAAUGCUGGGAAUUGAACUCAGGGCCUCAUGACUGUGGGAGAUAAUUUACCUGCAGAGCCAUCUCCCCAGCCCACCGUAGUCCUUUGCAAACUGGCUUAUCAGUUCCCAUGGAUUGAUUUUUUUGUUCACCUUCAAAGCACUUGCUCAAGAGUAAUAGCUUGGUAAUUGUUUGUUGACGGAAAGGCGGGUGAACGUCAUUUGGGAAUCCUGACUGCUAGGCUGUUUGAAAGACAUGAUUUCCAUUGUGAAUUCUUUGCACGUGGGAACGAUUUUCCUGUGGGAUGCUUGCCUGGAGGGAAAAAUGUUUUGCGGUAGCAGGUUUGAAAAAUGGAGCCAUUUUGCUCUGACGGAAGCUGGGUGACCUAGGGCAAGUGCCUGGGACCCCUGAUCCUCAUCUGUAAAGUGGGAGGGGCAGGGGCAGCCCCACUAACUUCUGGCAGCCUUGAGACUCUGACUUCUGGGGGGGAGGUGCACAGAGCUAGAGUCCUCUGAAGUAGGAAGAAUGCCUUUGUGCCAAUGAGGAACACUGAUAUGGGGGCUCAGAAAGGAAGCCAGGAGACACACACACACACACACACACACACACACACACACACGGAAAGGAGAAUGGGGGUAAGAAAGGAAAAAAAAACAUGCUUCAUGGACGGGAUGAGUAAAAGUCAAUGGGCUGAGAAAACCCAGCUCUGAACUUCACAUGACCCCGCGUGCUGCCUGCAGUUGCGACAUCAAAUGCCCCUUGAGUACUCUCAGCCGGCCAGUGAUGUCAGCAGGCUGUGGCCCCACAGGAAGCAGGGCUGCCAUCAGGAUGGCUCAACAUAGCCAGCUCCUCCUCCACACUUGAAACCACAGCUCUCCAGGGCAGUCAGAGGGGGACCCGGCUCAACUCUGGAAAACAAGCUCUCGCUCAUCCCUUGGUGGUGUUCAUGCAGGCAAGAGCUGCUCCCCCCAGAACUGCUCCGUUACAGGCUACCCUGUCUGGAACCAGUAUGUUCCUUCAGGGGUGCUGGUACCAAGUGCUUUUGCUUUUCUGAGACCAGAUCUUGCUAGAUAGCCCAGGCAGGCCUCAAGUUCACCUUGGCCUUUUGUCAAGGCUUCCUUGGUGUUGGGAUUAUAGGUGUGGCCCUGAGUUCAGAUAACUUGAGUCUACCUGCAGACAGAUGCAGUGUUUAUCCGUAACCCCGGUAAAAUUAGAGCUGUCCCUGCAAAGUCACAGGCACAGGCUGCAACAAACACCAAAAGACCAUCUCAGAUGACCUGCACACACAUGCGCCUGCAUUGAAACGAACGUGUACACACAUGCACGCACAUCAGGACACAAGACUGUAAACACUGACAGCCUUGCUGACGUGUAACCUGUCUGUCAUGAAACAGCCUCAGAGUAUGACGGACGCUCCAUGUGCUAAUGAGUUUGGACAACCAUCAGCACUGACCGAUUAAUUUCCUUCACCAUUAAAACAACUCCUCCCCCAGAACUCCCCCAGAAGUCACUCCUACCCCUCUCCUUGGCUUUGGCAUCGUCACCUUCUUUCUGUCCCGUGGAUUUGUCUUUUUCAGGAUGGCUUGUGGACUUCACCAACACACGCUCUUCUGACCUGCAUCUUUGGCGUAGCUUGCUGUAGUAUGCAUCGGCAGCGCCUCGAUUCUUUUAUGUGACCAUAUAGUACUCCACGGCAGAGGCUUAUCACCUUUUGCUUGUCAGUUUUUCAGAUGAGUGGUUUUUUCUCUUUUGGCUCUUAUGAAUAAGACUGUAACAGCUAUGUGUCUGCCUUAUUUCUUGCAUGUUUUUUCAUUUAUCCUUAGUAGAUACCUAGCAGUGGGUUAUCAGGGAUGUGUGAGGGUUUCAGUCUCUCCACACUUGCUGACACUUGCUGUUGUUUUAGCCAUCCUAGUGGAUGUGAGGUUAAACCUUGUCACUGUUCUUAUCUGCAUUUCCCUGGUGGCUGAAGGUCCUGGGUAGCUCCUCACCUGCCACCCACUUUAAAUGAACUGGUCUGUCUGUCUGUCUUCUGUCUUUGAGCCAUGAAAGUCCCCGUGCAUUCUGAACCAGAGGCUGUGAACUUUUCCCUCCAUUCUGUGGAUUUUCUCUUUUACUUCCCUGGUAGACUUUGACACCCAGAGAUUUUGCUGAACUAAUAAUAAUAAUAAUAAAUCUGUUUUCACUUUUCUGAAACUCACAGGAGCAAAGGUCUAUCCCCACUUCUUCCCCAAGAAAUUUCUAAUUCAGCUCUACCUCUUAGCCUUUAUUUCUGUGUAAUACGUCACGCCAGAACUCAGCUUCCUUCCUUCCUCUCUGACAAUGUCUAUUUAAUUGCCAGGCGCUUAAAGAGGACUGUUUUUCGCCCACUCAAUUUUACCUUGGCCCUUUGGUUGAAAGACUGCUGACAACAUACACAGGGGCUGAUUUCCGUGUUCAGAUGCCUCAACCAUCCACAUCUGCUCUCUGCCAGUCUUGGUAACUAUAGCUUUGUAGUAUUGGCCAACUGUAAAAUAUAUGCGUAUAUAAACACACACACACACACAAUAUGUUUUUGGUUUUUUUUUUUUUUUGCCUAUGUGGUUAUUUGUCUAUAUACUUUUGUUUCUUUGGUGUAUUUGUGUAUGUGUGCAGAUUUUUUUUUUACCUGUGUGGUAUAUUUAUUCAUAUACACACACACACACACACACAUAUACACACACACAUAUAUAUAUACAUACAUAUAUACAUACACACACACACAUAUAUACAUACAUAUUGUGUGUGUGUGUGUGUAUGUAUGUGAGAGAGAGAGCAAGAAACUGAGUGUCUCUUUUCCUCUCUGCCUUAUUUCCACAAGACAGGGUCUUUCCCCCAACCCCCAUUCAAUCAACUGGAAGCUUACUGUCUUGCUCAGUGAACUCCUGGAACCCAGCUGUCUCUGUUUCUUAGUGCCUGGGUUCCAAGUGGGCCCAUGACUGUAUCUAAUUUUGUUUUUGGGGGGUUCUGGGCAUUUAAAUUCAGGUCUUCAUACCUGAGCAACAAGCAUGUGUAACCACUGAGGUGUCUCCCAGCCCCUACGUGUAGAUUUUCUUAAUUUACCCAUUCC